rnacentral:lncRNA from 1 species
UGGUUUUGAUUUACUGGGCAAGCUAGAACUCAUACUCUCACCUUUCUAUCACCCUACAGUAGAAGAUAUUCCAGAGCAGAACAUUCCUUGAAUUUCCUGUGAACGAAGGGAUGAGUACAGAAGUCUGAGGAACAGAUCUGAGCCGCAAUUCAAAACCCAGAAUUAGAAAUAAUUCAAUAUAUUAGAAACAAAUCCUCUCGGGAAGCAAAGGGAUGGUGCUUUGGUCAGACUUGGUUCUAUGAAAUAAUUCUUUGGGAGUUUGAUUGGUAUGGCACUGAACAAGUAAGUUAAUUUGAGUAGUAUUGUCAUUUUUAUUAUAUUGGGUUGGUUCUCAAUCCACUGAACUACCCAGCUGCCCCAU